CUCAUUGCAUAGAGCUGAACACAUUGUUAUGUGAAGAUGAUUAGCAUGGCCCUUGCGCAACGAUGACACGCACAAAUAGAGAAAUGGUCCAAAUUUUU